rnacentral:rRNA from 1 species
AGGACGAACGCUGGCGGCGUGCUUAACACAUGCAAGUCGAGCGGAAAGGCCUUUCGGGGUACUCGAGCGGCGAACGGGUGAGUAACACGUGAGUAAUCUGCCCAUCGCUUCAGGAUAGCCAUCGGAAACGGUGAUUAAUACUGGAUACGACAUUCCUUCGCAUGUUGGGGUGUGGAAAGUUUUUUCGGCGGUGGAUGUGCUCGCGGCCUAUCAGCUUGUUGGUGGGGUAAUGGCCUACCAAGGCUUUGACGGGUAGCCGGCCUGAGAGGGUGACCGGCCACACUGGGACUGAGACACGGCCCAGACUCCUACGGGAGGCAGCAGUGGGAAUAUGGACAAUGGGCGGAAGCCUGAUCCAGCAACGCCGCGUGAGGAUGACGGCCUUCGGGUUGUAACCUCUUCAGCACAGACGAAGUUUUGUCGUUUUUUGGUAGUAGUGACGGUAUGUGCAAGAAGAACGGACCGACCGAACUACGUAGACCGAGCACGCCGACGUAAUCGUGAGCGGCGUGGACG